rnacentral:lncRNA from 1 species
GCUCUUCUCCUUCCUGCCACCUUGUGAAGAAGGUAUCUGGCUUCCCCUUUGCCUUCUGUUAUAAUUGUAAAUUUCCUGAGGCCUCCCCAGCCAUGUUGAACUGGUCACGAAGGUGUGUUCCAAGGCCACAUCUCCAACCUCACAGAGAGGACAGGAAGUGAUCAGUACCCCAACUAGCAAGAGUGGCCCGUUCAUUGGCCGAGGUUCUUGAGGAUAGAGUGGGAGGUGGGAGCGUCCCUCGUGCUGCCUUCAUUUUUCCUACCCUCAGCUCAGGGGUCUGUGCUAGAGGAAGACACACGAAGGCUACUGUGCCCCCACCACAAGAGAGGGAAACAGGGAGACGCGUGGGUCUGGAGCCAAGCGUAUCUCUCUGUACCCAUCGCACACGAAUUUGAAUCAUCUGCUCUUUGGAAUCGCCUACACCCUGCUGCACCCACGAUGUGGCUGUAACUCCAUUAAAGAAUUGAAUAUCAUCUUCCACGGAAUCUCUGUCUGCACAAAAGGGGCACAUUUAAUUUUCUGUUUUUUAAAUAAAGGUUUAAAAAAUCCUUUUGCAAAGCGAUGAUAGAGGCACGUGGUUCGAAAUUGACAUGCACAGGAGAACAGACCAUGAAAAGUCUCUCUCCCACCCCUUCCUCCCAGCCAAAAGUUUCCUCCCACUCCAUGCCAAUGACUGUUAACUGUUUCCUGUGUCCCCAAAGAGAUGUUCUUCUAUGUGUGUCAAAGCAAAGUAUAUUUUCACUAUUCUUCCUCUUUGGUUUAUGCUGCACUCAUUUUUCUGCGUCUGGCUGUUCUCGACAGGAGUAGCAGGGGCUCUUGGUGGCCUGCCCAUAACUCUGUGGCCCUUGUCAGU